rnacentral:rRNA from 1 species
UACGAAGGGGGCUAGCGUUGUUCGGAAUUACUGGGCGUAAAGCGCGCGCAGGCGGUCUUCCAAGUCAGUGGUGAAAGCCCGGAGCUCAACUCCGGAACUGCCAUUGAAACUGUUAGACUUGAGGACGAGAGAGGUGAGUGGAAUUCCCAGUGUAGAGGUGAAAUUCGUAGAUACUGGGAGGAACACCGGUGGCGAAGGCGGCGACCUGGGUAGAUACUGACGCUGAGGUGCGAAAGCGUGGGGAGCAAACAGG